rnacentral:sRNA from 1 species
GAUUAAUAUAGGUAAGGAGUAAUGCUUGCAGACUGCCCAGGGCCCGAGAGAGUACCUGAGAGCAGGCGUUGCUAUGGUCAGCAGGCUUUAGAGCCUGAUGCACAAAUCAAACCCAUCGUAGGAACUGGAUUUGAAGGUUUCUUUGGAAAAGGAAAGGCUAUUUGGGGAGUACUAAAAGUUACAAAACAAACAACCAACAACCCGGGAACUGACUGGGAAACAUUUUGAAGCCAGAACUCUAUAUUUUGUAGUUAAAUAAGGAGUGUAUCUUCUGCCACUGCAUUGUGUGGGUCAGUGUGGCAGUGGUGCAAAAUGUCACAGGGUUGAGUCCCACGUCCCGAAGACUUCUCCUCUCCCUCACAUAGUCCUGUUACUCAAGCCUCCCUCUACCCCUGAAUUAUACUUGUUCUACGUAGGCCUUACACUUACUGUGUUCUCAGCAUUCAUUCAGCCGGGCAGACUUUCUGAGAAUAUGAUAGGUUCUAGAUGCUGCUCCCAGAAGGCAGGAGUGUGAAGGGGAGGGUAUCUUAUUGAUAACCAGGAUCUGUACGAGAUAGAUUAUAUCCAAUUAAUCUUUUGUAAAGCUUGCAUUUCCUCCAAGUUGUAAGAUCUUUCUCGGGUAGAAGAAAAUCACGGCUGCACUCAGGGUGGUGGCUGGACAUCUGGCACUGGGGCUUUAUCCAUUCCAAGUCUUCGGGACAUCUUCACAUUCCCAAUGCUCUCCUUAGGACAAUUGAAAGAACGGAUGCAAAUAAUUGCUGGGUUUUCAGGCCGUGGAGACAGGAGGCCGUCGAAAGUGAAACUGAAUGACAAAUGGCUUCACUCUGAAGCAACUAGGAUCAACAACUCAGAUCUGGAUGGUGACCUGUAGUUUACAAUCCCAUCAGAAGAGUUGAGCUGGUCCUUUAAGGAGGCUGGCCAGAAAAUUGAAAAGAAGUCCAGAUGAUCACAGAAACUAAAGAAAGUUUUGGAAGUAAUGAAGCUAUCAUUUUACACUGAAAAACAGAUCUGCACAUGCAGAAGCAGAAUGAUGUGAGACAGAAGAGGGCCACUUAUUCAUUGGUAGGCUUGGAGAUCAAAGCCAAGGCUUCAAAAACACUAAGGAAGUGCCAUCUACCAGAAAACCACAUCCCCAGCCCUGAAACAUUUAUUUGGAAACUUGGAUGAUACUUCUUAGGAAAACCCUUGGCUAAAGACGGAAUGAAGAUUUAAACAAAUAAGAAGAAACUGAGUCACAGCUGACGUGCUUCAUUGAUUAGGAUUGGACAUCUAACAAGGCUAUCACUCAGAGCACCGGGAUCCUAGUGUGGGUUUUCACAGUUCAUCUCAGAAUGGAUUUGGGGUAUGAAGAACGUGAUCACAGUUCCUAUUCAAGGUUCUCCUUUAACCUAAAAACCAUCCUAGCUGAAGAUCAAAAGAAAGAUUGGCAUUGAAUGAAGUACUGACUUAUACAGGACACCAAAAACACCAGAUCAGGUAACCAGGAAUGUUUCCUAUCUUGAUUCCCUGUCACAUACCUCACCUUUAAGUUUAAUUAUUAUCCCUCCUGAGAGUCAUCUGAGAGAAAUCUUGUUUGAGGAAUUGACUGGAUUGGAUUGACUUACAGGAAGAUUUAUGGAGAAUUGCCUUGAUUAUUAAUUGAUGUAGGAUGGCCCAGUCUACUGUGGGUGACACUAUCCCUAGGCUCGUAGACCUGGGUUCAAGAAAAAAAGCUAUGUAAGCAUAAGCCUGUAGCAAACCAGAGAGUGAGGCAACCAGGAGUAUUCCUCCAUGGUUCCUGUUUUCUGG